UUACCGAGUUUACAACUCCCAAACCCAAUGUGAACGUUACCAAACUGUUGCCUCGGCGGGAUCUCUGCCCCGGUGCGUCGCAGCCCCGGACCAAGGCGCCCGCCGGAGGACCAACCAAAACUCUUAUUAUACCCCCUCGCGGGUUUUUUUAUAAUCUGAGCCUUCUCGGCGCCCCUCGUGGGCUUCGAAAAUGAAUCAAAACUUUCAACAACGGAUCUCUUGGUUCUGGCAUCGAUGAAACGCAGCGAAAUGCGAUAAGUAAUGUGAAUUGCAGAAUUCAGUGAAUCAUCGAAUCUUUGAACGCACAUUGCGCCCGCCAGUAUUCUGGCGGGCAUGCCUGUCCGAGCGUCAUUUCAACCCUCGAACCCCUCCGGGGGGUCGGCGUUGGGGAUCGGCCCUCCCUCUGCGGGGGCCGUCUCCGAAAUACAGUGGCGGUCUCGCCGCAGCCUCUCCUGCGCAGUAGUUUGCACACUCGCACCGGGAGCGCGGCGCGUCCACAGCCGUUAAACACCCAACUUUCUGAAAUGUUGACCUCGGAUCAGGUAGGAAUACCCGCUGAAC
rnacentral:rRNA from 1 species